CUCCAACACAGUGAAGUUGGCCCGAAGAGGCAUCUGAGACUUCUGCUUCAGUGAUGGCUCAAUUCUCACGAACUGCGUCAGGCUAAUUACUUUUCUCCUUGGGCUGGAAGACGGGUGCGGCAUGAUAAGCGGCAGACGGGUGACAGGAGGUGUGCGCGAGCGGCUGGAGACAGGCUUAUCUGUGGGCGGAGGAGACGCCUCAUGCUUCCUCACGCAAGAGAGACGUGGCCGAUCACCUGUGCCGCCUUUCCUGAUCACUCUAGCCGCCAGUGCCAUCUCGUGUAUGUGCACGUAUGAAGACUCCUCUGUCACGCCUUUUUGGUCAGAGAAGGAAAUGUGGGGUGCCUGAAAAGCAUUUGGGAGGAAAGAGAGAAUACAGACGCGGCAGCGGAGCAGAACGGCUGCAGUCUGAGCUGCGGUAAACUGAUGAGCAUCUAUUUCUGUUUGUGUACAGCACAUUUAUGGGCAUAUUAGAGGCUCCGGUCAGCGAGACGCUCAUAAAAGAGAGAAAACCAAUAUGCUGCUUCAGAGGCGUUUGUGCAGCACUGGACUCUUCCUGCAGCCGUCUGUGAGUGAGGCGAGCGGUGGCUCCGGCCUGUCUGCCUCUCUUUGUGUGUGUGUGUGUGUGUGUGUGUGUGUGUCUCACUGCAGAGAGCCAGAUUAUUUUUAACACACUGCAUCCAAGAACAAACGUGGAAUGCAAGUGUGAACACAAUGAGCACACGCUCGUGAUCAUCUUCUGCGGAGGUCACACGGGGUCAGAGUUCAUGUCUUUUAUACACACACACACACACACACACACACACACACACAAAUGAUCAUUUCAUUUGAAAUGGUUACUGUUGAACUUUAUGGAAAAUUGUCAUUUCUAACCUCAGGUCCAAUCUGGCCUCAAUCUGAAGUAUGUGCUUACUAACCCUGAACUAAACCAAAGCAUUGUUUCAGCCCGUUCAGAAUUUAUUAAUAAUACUUAAUUCACUUGUAUGUACAGGUUCGGACAUGAUUAUGAGGCCAAAUGUCCUCAAUAAUACUGUAAAAUUAUACAGUACACGUGUGUGUAUGAGAAAGAGAGAGAGAUGAAGUACAGUAGAUGCUGCUAAUUACAGCAAACUGCAUCAGCAUCACUCGCAAUUAUUUAGACCUGUUUUAUUUAUAUAUAUAUUAUAUAAUAUACUGUAUAUAUUAUUUAAUUUAUGUUUUAGUUUCAGUUUUAGUUCAUUUUAUAAUAUUCUGAAACAUCAUCAUUGCUCAGUUUAAGGGUGGGCGUGUUUGGUCAGUUUAAAUGAAUCUCUGCGAUGACACAGCUGAAAUUAGAUUACCGAGUCCUGGUUUCCAGCAGCACCUCAUCUACCACAAACACACAAAGCCUGAAAACAGACACCUGAGAGACAGAAAGAGAGUUAUUACUAGAUGAACUGCACUCCUGCUGUCUGAAUCAAUGAGCAACCUCAAACCUCACUAGUCCAGACUUCACAUCUACAGUUCUCUGACAUCCACAAAAGCAACAAUUAC
ensembl:lncRNA